UACGGAGGGGGGCUAGCGUUGUUCGGAAUUACUGGGCGUAAAGCGCACGUAGGCGGACUAUUAAGUCAGGGGUGAAAUCCCGGGGCUCAACCCCGGAACUGCCUUUGAUACUGGUAGUCUCGAGUCCGGAAGAGGUGAGUGGAAUUCCGAGUGUAGAGGUGAAAUUCGUAGAUAUUCGGAAGAACACCAGUGGCGAAAGGCGGCUCACUGGACCGGCAUUGACGCUGAGGUGCGAAAGCGUGGGGAGCAAACAGG
rnacentral:rRNA from 1 species